AUGAUCAUGGACCUGAAGUUGGGGACGUUGGGGCCAGAGAGGUGGGUGAAAGGUGGCCCGAGUCUUGUGCAAGGGCCCAGCCACCUGUUAACAGAUAGAGAGGCCAAGGGGCCUAGAUCUGAGCCUGCCGCCUCGGGAGGGGGCGGGGCCUCGGGUACGUGGGGGCGGGGCCUCACUGGCGGGGGCGGGGCCGGGGCGGGCCCUCGCUGGGUGGGGCGUGGCUGCAGCCAGGCGGGGCGGAGCCGGGGCCGACUCGGUUCGGAAAUUUUCGCUGUGGGCGGGUCGGACCCGCCAGGGAGCGGCCGGCGGCGGCCAGGCGAGGCGCCCCGUGAUUGGCGGAGGCGCGCGGCGAUUGGCAGGCGCGCCGGCCAUUCCGCGGGCCGAGCCGGCGCCGCGUCUUCCGAGCCGCGUCGGGAGUGGAGGUCGGCCCGAGGCCCCGCCCCGCGCUGGCCCCGCCCCCGCGCUGGCCCCGCCCCCGCGCUGGCCCCGCCCCCGACCCGCCCCGUGGGGGCCGCGCUCGCAGGCGCUCCCCGCCGCUCCGCUCGCGUCGCCGGCUCCGCAGGCCCGUCCGCUCCACCCCGGGGCGUCCGGCUCUCGCGAGCAGCGCCGCGGCAGGCCCGGAGCCCGAGGGCGUCGCGCGGCCCACUCGCGGCCGGUGAGUACCCCGCGGCGGGCGGCGGGCGCUGGGAGGACAGCUGGGAGGCGCCGCCCGCCGCGGGCCUCAGUUUCUCCACCUGCGCAGCGGCCCCAGCGGGUCCCCGGGAGGCGGGGGCGGGGCCUGCCGGGGGAGGGGGCGCCCUCGGGCCUCGUGGGGCCCCGCGGCUCCGAGCACCGGGAGGCGGCGGGGCGGGGGUGGGGGGACCCAGGGCGCCCCGGGGGGUGGGGGGGCGGGGGAGAGGGCGAGGGAGGGGGAGGGGGUCCCGCCCGCACAGCCCGGCGGGGGUCAGGGGGUCAGCGCGGCGCGUCCCGUCCCCGGGGCCCCUCCCGCUGCGGGGCGAGCAGGGGCAGCGCAGGGGCGGCGAGGCCCGGCCUCCCUCCUCCACGUUGGUCCUGUCGUGA
rnacentral:lncRNA from 1 species